rnacentral:rRNA from 1 species
GACGAACGCUGGCGGCGUGCUUAACACAUGCAAGUCGAACGGAAAGGCCCUGCUUUUGUGGGGUGCUCGAGUGGCGAACGGGUGAGUAACACGUGAGUAACCUGCCCUUGACUUUGGGAUAACUGCAGGAAACUGGGGCUAAUACCGGAUAGGAGCUCCUGCUGCAUGGUGGGGGUUGGAAAGUUUCGGCGGUUGGGGAUGGACUCGCGGCUUAUCAGCUUGUCGGUGGGGUAGUGGCUUACCAAGGCUUUGACGGGUAGCCGGCCUGAGAGGGUGACCGGCCACAUUGGGACUGAGAUACGGGCCGGACUCCUUCGGGAGGCAGCAGUGGGGAAUAGUGCACGAUGGGCGGAAGCCUGAUGCAGCAACGCCGCGUGCGGGAUGACGGCCUUCGGGUUGUAAACCGCUUUCGCCUGUGACGAAGCGUGAGUGACGGUAAUGGGUAAAGAAGCACCGGCUAACUACGUG